GACGAACGCUGGCGGCGUGCUUAACACAUGCCAGUCGAACGGAAAGGCCUUGCUUUUGUUGUGGGCUCGAGUUGCUAACGUGUGGGUAACAUGUGUGUAACCUGCCCUUUAUGUUGGGAUAACUUCUGUAAACUUGGGCUACUACCUGUUAUUAGCUCCUGCUGCAUGGUGUGGUGUGUAUAGUUUCGGCGGAUGGGGUUGUAGUUGGGGCUUAUCGGGUUGGUGAUGGGGUAGUUGCUUAGCUAGGCGUUGACGGGGAGGCGGCCUGAUAGGGGGAACGGCGACAUGGGGAAGGAGAUAAGGCCCAGACUCAUACGGGAAGCAGCAGUGAGGAAUAGUGCACAAUGGGCGGAAGCCUGAUGCAGCAACGACGCGUGCGGGAUGACGGCCUUCGGGUUGUAAACAGCUUUCGCCUGUGACGAAGCGUGAGUGACGGUAAUGGGAGAAGAAGCACCGGCUAACUACGUG
rnacentral:rRNA from 1 species